rnacentral:rRNA from 1 species
AACGGAGCUGCUUUGAUGAAGUUUUCGGAUGGAUUUAAAACAGCUUAGUGGCGGACGGGUGAGUAACGCGUGGGUAACCUGCCUCAUACAGGGGGAUAACAGUUAGAAAUGACUGCUAAUACCGCAUAAGACCACGGUACCGCAUGGUACAGUGGUAAAAACUCCGGUGGUGUGAGAUGGACCCGCGUCUGAUUAACCAGUUGGCGGGGUAACGGCCCACCAAAGCGACGAUCAGUAGCCGGCCUGAGAGGGUGAACGGCCACAUUGGGACUGAGACACGGCCCAAACUCC